GUAUCAAUUAAGUAAAUUUAUGUUCUCUUAUGAAAUAAAUUGUUUUAAUUUUGGUGGGUAUCGUCUUGUCUAACAUAACGCCUCACUGCUAAUCCGCACCUGUAUUUGUAUUUAUAGUCGUAUCAGUUCAAAUACUAGUCUGACAAGUUUUAAUCCCACGGGAUUUUCAUGGGCAAAUUUAGUGCAGUGACAAGUACAUUCUUUAUCGGAAAUCCGUAGAGGACAGAUCGUUUACAAAAAUUUAAAGAAGAUUACGACGGAAAACUGCAGCGCUACUGUUUUGAGAAUUCACAAUUGAGAUGAGUAUACAUUAUAUAUUUUCUUUAGAUGUCUGCGCUUAUAAUUUUGAUUGCUGAACUUUCUGUUUAUACGGCAUUUGAAUAUGUCCUCUGGAAAGUAAUGGAGACACGUGUUCAUCGUACAAUCAGCAAGAUAUUGGUUAUUUGGUUUUAUUCAAUCACUGACUGAAUCAGUCUGAAGUGAAUUUUAGUUAUAAAAUAAAUAAAUAAAUAAAUAAAUAAAAUUAACAGACAUAGUGAGCUGACAAACACUCACAGGUAAAACAUGGGUGUGGUCGAGCGUUUCUUUGUUUGCAUGUACAUGCGCAAAAAAAAAAUGCAGUACGUUAGUUCCUGUACAUUAUUCUCGGUCAUUAUUAUUUUUGGACUUUAAUCAUAUGUACAAUAUGCAUGUACUGGUUUCACCCGAGGUGUUUUGAGGUUUAUGCAUUUCUAACGUACAUUGUUGCGGAAAUAUUUUGUAACAUGAUUUAGUAUCGCUGGGAUUAAUCAAAGAAUUUUGCUUUGUAGCCUAUAUAUCCCAGACUCACCAGUUUCGACGCACAUAACAAGCAACAUGGCCGCGCUUUUUCAUUCAGUAACAUACGUGACUCUAUUAGAUAUUGCAUGUACACUAACCUUUUAUGCAUUGAAUCAUACCAAUAACAUCUUAUUCUUAACAACUGACUGCCAGAAAUCAAAUGGUAAACAACAACUAGUGUGAUCGGCCAUACUUUUUCUAACACACCUAUUUCGACGCAUCUUACAUGAUACUUGUUACGAAGCUUUUGAUUGGCUUAAAUAUUUGUGCAAUCACUGUAAGUAAUGCGCUACAGAUGCAAGUAGAUAAUCAAUAUUAAAGGCCAAAUGAUAUAAAUAAAUCUGAAAACAUUUAAACAUUCAUCAACAUAAGGGGCUAAGAACAUAGAUAAUCACUUUGCUUUUUUAAUACACACUGUCUGAUGUUUUUUCUUUCAUUUUUCUGGACUGCAGUGUUUACAGAGGAAUUUGGCACAUUUUGUUUUAUACAAAACUUUAGAUGAACCCAGUGUUCGCAGCCUACUUGACAAGAGAAAAAAAUGAAGUGUGUAGUAAUGAUCGCAUUGAUAUAUAAUGCGUACACCUUCCAAAACAGUGCAUAAAAUAGUGCGAUUACAUAUGUCACAUGGCAGUGAUGUGACCUUGAUAGCACCAAAGUCGGCUGCAGACGUACAACAAAAUUUCCAGUAACUUUUUUAAUCUAAGCUUCCACAGGGACGUUCUUAAAAUGGAUGAAAAUUUGCAUUAGUAGAAACAUUAAAAAUCAUGUAUAGUGAAAAUGUAAGUUGAUAAAUAUCUUCAAAUUCCUGAACUUUCCAUUUUGUCGGUAAAAUUAACCAUGAUGUUUUCUAUCAUUACACCGAGUAACUACGUCAUCGGAAACCCCAAGUUAAUCGAGAACGAGGUCAAAACAAAAAUGGCGUCGAAAUAGGUGUGCGUAAAAUUACAUGGUGCGACGAUAAUUUCAAAAAAAAAAAAAAAAUACAGACUAUUAUCUCAUUAAAUCAAAUAGAAAUAUACAUUUGGUUGUUUCUUACCAAUUGUCAAAAUCAUACUUUAAAUAUCUUGCUUCAAAUGAUAAAAAGCAUGCUGCAUAGUCUAGUUACAGCUUAACAGAUCCGAUGAGAAAAAAGCGACAUACAAUUAAUUGGUUCCAUGCCGUUUUCAACAGUAUUUCAGUCAGAUGGUUGAAGUGUUCGUAGAGACUGCACAUAGGAAAAUUGACGCAGUUCUAGCCUGUACGCUUUGAUGCGGAUAAUCCAUUACGUCAGCAACUGUAACACCAGCAUUAACACGGUCAAUCUCUGGUAUAAGGGGCUACAGAAAACUAAUGUCGUCAACCGGCUAUUCUCCUAAUGUCUUUAAACAGUUUAGCUAUAGGAGCGGCGUGGCAUGGUCGGAAUCGGCAGCUAUUGGGGCACCUUGUGUUGAAAGGUAACUGCUGUACCUGGUUAAUUUUAUUAGAUCCGAUUUAUCUAGGUCCGUUGCGUGCAUUACUUAACUGCCUGCAUGUAAAAGAAUAAGUUAUAAAAUGCAUUGAUAAGGAAAACGAAAUAAUCAAGAAAUAUCGAAAAUAGGUGUAAAACAGAAUUGAAUCAAUUAUGAGAAUAAUGUUAAUAAUAAUAAUAAUUAUAAUAACAAUAAUGAUAUGAAUAAUAACUUCAAUAAUAUGAAUGCAAAGAAGACGUCACUGGAAACUGUUCAAGCAUAUUCUGUUUAUGACGUAACAAGUCAGUGGCAAUAAGACUCUUCUAAUUGAAAGUCUUAUGGCUAUUGGUUUCCUAUUCGUCCGCCCGUCCGUCCGUUCGUCUGAUAUUCGUUCAAAAUAAAUAGAUAAUACAUUUUGACUGAAACCUCAGCAAAAGGUUUCAUGAUGACCCUGGCUUAUAGUAAUCGAACUAUUGGAUAAUAUGUACAUGUACCUGAAUGACAUUGUGACAUUUAAAGAUAUACAAUAUGUAAAAUAUGCAGCGAGUUUCAUAGAUUUUGAUACAUCUUAAAAAUUAAGGUACAUAGCAAAAGGUAAUUUCUAGCUCUAGACUUUAACUGUUUGUCAUUGACCUGCCGUACCUAUUGAGUAAACGUGUAUUCACUGCAUACCUCGUUUUGGCGAAUUUUAUUUUCAUAAAAUGUUGAGUGGCCCUCAAUACACGUAAUGUGCAUUUCGGUAUGGCAUAUUGUAAAUCUUAUUAGUACUAAAAUCUAAAAUGCAUUACAUUCGUUGAAAUCUAUAGUUAUCAUCUUAUAUCAUAGAGGUCGAUGAGAGCAUCUUUGCCUCGUUUUUCAUUAGUGCGAAGUACUAGAACCUAUAAUUUCCUAUUAGGUCUGGUAUGUUCUGCGCUUAUUUUCAUAGUUUUCUGCACCUUCGCGCUGCUAUGUUGCUUCCAGGCAUUUUAGCUGGAGCUUUGUCUUUCAUAUUUUCUCAUCAUUUUCAUAUAUACCAUGCUAUAUAUUUACAAUAUGCCAUAAUUUUCAUUUGAAAAUUUACAGUAAAGUCACGGUCUUAUCCCACAUAAUUUUGUUUUGUUUUUGCUGUAUUACUUGAUAUAUUCACCUUUGUCUUAGAACCGAUGAACUCCCUUAUGCAGUCAGACCCGUACUGUAGACAGCCUCCAAAAAUAUAACCUGCUUACUAUGGUCACACGUCACCUGUCUUGAGAAAAUAUAUGUUUUCACAAAUACCGGCAUUUUUCAGUCCCCAAGGGAAGUUCUGCAGCCGGAUUUGACUGUAUAUAUAUAUAUACCCCAGCACCCACCAAUAAAUUAAGUAAAUUUAUGUUCUCUUAUGAAAUAAAUUGUUUUAAUUUUGGUGGGUAUCGUCUUGUCUAACAUAACGCCUCACUGCUAAUCCGCACCUGUAUUUGUAUUUAUAGUCGUAUCAGUUCAAAUACUAGUCUGACAAGUUUUAAUCCCACGGGAUUUUCAUGGGCAAAUUUAGUGCAGUGACAAGUACAUUCUUUAUCGGAAAUCCGUAGAGGACAGAUCGUUUACAAAAAUUCCCUCCCACC